GACGAACGUUGGCGGCGUGCUUAACACAUGCAAGUCGAACGGAAAGGCCCUGCUUUUGUGGGGUGCUCGAGUGGCGAACGGGUGAGUAACACGUGAGUAACCUGCCCUUGACUUUGGGAUAACUUCAGGAAACUGGGGCUAAUACCGGAUAGGAGCUCCUGCUGCAUGGUGGAGGUUGGAAAGUUUCGGCGGUUGGGGAUGGACUCGCGGCUUAUCAGCUUGUUGGUGGGGUAGUGGCUUACCAAGGCUUUGACGGGUAGCCGGCCUGAGAGGGUGACCGGCCACAUUGGGACUGAGAUACGGCCCAGACUCCUACGGGAGGCAGCAGUGGGGAAUAUUGCACAAUGGGCGGAAGCCUGAUGCAGCAACGCCGCGUGCGGGAUGACGGCCUUCGGGUUGUAAACCGCUUUCGCCUGUGACGAAGCGUGAGUGACGGUAAUGGGUAAAGAAGCACCGGCUAACUACGUGCCAGCAGCCGCGGUGAUACGUAGGGUGCGAGCGUUGUCCGGAUUUAUUGGGCGUAAAGGGCUCGUAGGUGGUUGAUCGCGUCGGAAGUGUAAUCUUGGGGCUUAACCCUGAGCGUGCUUUCGAUACGGGUUGACUUGAGGAAGGUAGGGGAGAAUGGAAUUCCUGGUGGAGCGGUGGAAUGCGCAGAUAUCAGGAGGAACACCAGUGGCGAAGGCGGUUCUCUGGGCCUUUCCUGACGCUGAGGAGCGAAAGCGUGGGGAGCGAACAGGCUUAGAUACCCUGGUAGUCCACGCUGUAAACGGUGGGUACUAGGUGUGGGGUCCAUUCCACGGGUUCCGUGCCGUAGCUAACGCUUUAAGUACCCCGCCUGGGGAGUACGGCCGCAAGGCUAAAACUCAAAGGAAUUGACGGGGCCCCGCACAAGCGGCGGAGCAUGCGGAUUAAUUCGAUGCAACGCGUAGAACCUUACCUGGGUUUGACAUGGAUCGGGAGUGCUCAGAGAUGGGUGUGCCUCUUUUGGGGUCGGUUCACAGGUGGUGCAUGGCUGUCGUCAGCUCGUGUCGUGAGAUGUUGGGUUAAGUCCCGCAACGAGCGCAACCCUUGUUCACUGUUGCCAGCACGUUAUGGUGGGGACUCAGUGGAGACCGCCGGGGUCAACUCGGAGGAAGGUGGGGAUGACGUCAAGUCAUCAUGCCCCUUAUGUCCAGGGCUUCACGCAUGCUACAAUGGCUGGUACAGAGAGUGGCGAGCCUGUGAGGGUGAGCGAAUCUCGGAAAGCCGGUCUCAGUUCGGAUUGGGGUCUGCAACUCGACCUCAUGAAGUCGGAGUCGCUAGUAAUCGCAGAUCAGCAACGCUGCGGUGAAUACGUUCCCGGGGC
rnacentral:rRNA from 1 species